UAUUUAAUAAAUUAAAGCCAAGAUACAAAAAACAAUGUACAUGUCAUACCUCCACCUACUAUUCUUUCUUGAAACAAUGUUAUUUUCCCAUCAUGCCCUCAGAACAAGACCAUAAUAAAGCAUGAGGGUCAGCGUAGAACCAUUUAUUCAGAAAACAGACAGCUCACUCCACAGCUGCACUUUGCCUCCAUUCUGAAAAGUCUACCUGCCCACCAAUACCCCCCGCCCGCAUCCCCCCCCCCCCCCGAAACCCCACCCUGCCCCAAAACACAUACAUGCUACAUGUUUGCAGGCACCUUGGAUAAGACAGAAGGAUUAUGAGAUAAAGUUUAUCAGAGACGACAAAAUCCAAUU